GUCACCUGCUCUGUAUGUGUGGCUUUCUGUUUGAAAAAAACAGAAUAAAGAAUGGUGUUCUUGGAAAAACAAGUUUGGUAACCCCGGGCUAGAUGCCGGCCCCUCUGGAUUUCUGAUGUAUUGCCUCCCCACCCUGUGGGACGCAUUUGCCCUACACACUAAGUCUCUCCUCCCCACCCCUGCCUCACUCCAGGCACAGGCUGCAUGUGAUUGUGGAUGAGGUCUACAUGCUGUCCGUGUUUGAGAAGUCUGUUGGGUACCGCAGUGUCCUAAGCCUGGAAAGGCUGCCUGACCCCCAGAGGACCCAUGUGAUGUGGGCAACCAGCAAGGACUUCGGGAUGUCUGGGCUCCGCUUUGGCACGCUGUACACAGAAAACCAGGAUGUGGCCACUGCCGUGGCUUCCCUCUGCCGCUACCACGGCCUCAGUGGCUUGGUCCAGUACCAGAUGGCGCAGCUGCUCCGGGACCGUGAUGAGGAAAAUGAGGACCAGAUACUACCCCACUCACUAUAGUAGCUAAAAGUUUUAAAAAUAGUGACAACAUCAAGUGUUGACAAAGAUAAGGAGCAGCUGGAAGUCUCAUACACUGCUGGUAGGAGUACUGGAUCAACCAGGUGUACCUGCCGGAAAACCAUGCCCG
rnacentral:sRNA from 1 species